CCUACGGGUGGCAGCAGUGAGGAAUAUUGGUCAAUGGACGAGAGUCUGAACCAGUCAAGUAGCGUGAAGGAUGACUGCCCUAUGGGUUGUAAACUUCUUUUAUAUGGGAAUAAAACGUUCCACGUGUGGGAUUUUGUAUGUACCAUAUGAAUAAGGAUCGGCUAACUCCGUGCCAGCAGCCGCGGUAAUACGGAGGAUCCGAGCGUUAUCCGGAUUUAUUGGGUUUAAAGGGAGCGUAGGUGGAUUGUUAAGUCAGUUGUGAAAGUUUGCGGCUCAAACGUAAAAUUGCAGUUGAAACUGGCAGUCUUGAGUACAGUAGAGGUGGGCGGAAUUCGUGGUGUAGCGGUGAAAUGCGUAGAUAUCACGAAGAACUCCGAUUGCGAAGGCAGUUCACUGGACUGCAACUGACACUGAGGCUCGAAAGUGUGGGUAUCAAACAGGAUUAGAUACCCCAGUAGUC
rnacentral:rRNA from 1 species